GAUGAACGCUGGCGGCGUGCCUAAUACAUGCAAGUCGAGCGAACAGAUGAGGAGCUUGCUCCUCUGACGUUAGCGGCGGACGGGUGAGUAACACGUGGAUAACCUACCUAUAAGACUGGGAUAACUUCGGGAAACCGGAGCUAAUACCGGAUAAUAUAUUGAACCGCAUGGUUCAAUAGUGAAAGACGGUUUUGCUGUCACUUAUAGAUGGAUCCGCGCCGCAUUAGCUAGUUGGUAAGGUAACGGCUUACCAAGGCAACGAUGCGUAGCCGACCUGAGAGGGUGAUCGGCCACACUGGAACUGAGACACGGUCCAGACUCCUACGGGAGGCAGCAGUAGGGAAUCUUCCGCAAUGGGCGAAAGCCUGACGGAGCAACGCCGCGUGAGUGAUGAAGGUCUGCGGAUCGUAAAACUCUGUUAUUAGGGAAGAACAAAUGUGUAAGUAACUAUGCACGUCCUGACGGUACCUAAGCAGAAAGCCACGGCUAACUACGU
rnacentral:rRNA from 1 species